rnacentral:misc_RNA from 1 species
CGCACAUUGCGCCCCUUGGUAUUCCAUGGGGCAUGCCUGUUCGAGCGUCAUUUACCCCCUCAAGCCCUGCUUGGUGUUGGGCGUCUGUCCCGCCUCUUGCGCGCGGACUCGCCCCAAAAAAAUUGGCAGCGGUCGUGCCAGCCUCUCGCGCAGCAGUUUGCGCUCCCAGAGGCCCGGCGGACACGCAUCCACAAAGCCCAUCCACUUUUGACCUCGGAUCAGGUAGGGAUACCCGCUGAACUUAA